rnacentral:rRNA from 1 species
UACGGGGGGGGCAAGCGUUGUUCGGAAUUACUGGGCGUAAAGGGCUCGUAGGCGGCCAACUAAGUCAGACGUGAAAUCCCUCGGCUUAACCGGGGAACUGCGUCUGAUACUGGAAGGCUUGAAUCCGGGAGAGGGAUGUGGAAUUCCAGGUGUAGCGGUGAAAUGCGUAGAUAUCUGGAGGAACACCGGUGGCGAAGGCGGCAUCCUGGACCGGUAUUGACGCUGAGGCGCGAAAGCUAGGGGAGCAAACGGG